rnacentral:lncRNA from 1 species
AAAGCAAAAAAAGGCAACUCCGGUAUAGGUGACCCUCGCAAAGUCAUUUAAACCAAAGAAUUGUAAAAAUUUGCUGCAAAAAGAAAAAGAAAAAGAAAAAAGGAAAAGACAAACUUACCCACUGUUAGUUGGUUCAGAGGUAUCUGGCACUGAACUCGGUAUGGCGGAUUACGAUCCGAUCCCCCACAACUACAGUUGGGUCCAAUAAAAGGGUUUACACAUAUUUAUGUGCCAGAAAUCCCAUGCUAAGAUCAUUAUCACUAACAAGCCACUCUACUAUGAAGCAUGUACGGGUAAUGGGCUUAAUGUGAUUGCGCCUGAAUGAAAAGGACACAAAAAGAGAUGAAGAGGCA